ACUUCUUGCCUUCUUCCAAUCUUCGUCAUAAACAAUCAGAAAAACAUCAAACCCUAGAGAAACUAUUUGCUCUCCUCUCUUAGGCGACGAAGAAACACCCAAAAAUUCGUUCGGCGAUUCCGAUUUCGGCGUCCACAUUUGAAACGGCGAGGACUCCUAGGUUCAAAUCCAGGAGAAAAAACGUUAACAGGUGUUUACAAGGAAAAAAUGGUUGCACAUACCAGAAGCUUGAGCCGGGGGAAGGGGAAGACAAAUUUAGAACCAGAUGUUAUAUGCGUUAGUUCCGGCACGAGGUCCCGGCGUCAGCGCAAUAGUCAUGUCGCUUGUGUGCUCUUUGACUCGACCGAAGAAGAUGUCACGCCCCCACGGGCGAACAUCAAACGGCAGAUAACGAAGCGGAAGCAAACGGACUAUUGUGGCUCCCCGACGAAAAAGAGGAAGAAACACAGA
rnacentral:lncRNA from 1 species